ACACACAACACACACGCACACGCGCGUGAUCAAAAGUCUAUAUAUAUACUUACAUACACGCGGCAUGCAAUUGCACCAAACGCCUAAACCUAAAUCUGGAUCUCCCUCCCUCUCUCUCUCUCUCUCUCUCUCUCUCUCUCUAUCUCAUCUCUCUCUCUCUCUCUCACUCAAGAUGUUGCUUUGAUCUGCAUUUGCACCUGCACCUUCUUCUCUCUUAAAUUCAUCAAGAAUUUGAUGAUUAAUAUGAUGAAUAAAAGAGGAAUUUAAGGGGAUGCAGAUGCCUAUGCAGAUGAAUGCCACUUUUGGAAAUAAAAAUCAUACCCUUUCUCUCUCCUCCCUCUCUCUCUCUCUAAAAACAAGCCAUGUCCAGUGUCAUUUUUUAGCUGGUGAGAUCUCAAUUGGCAUCUUUCUUCUGCUUUUAUAAUUUCUAUAUAUAAAUAUAAUGCGCCUCAAUGGAAGCCGCCCCAGUGUGUAUUUGAAGGGCUAAUUAAUCUUCAUUGGUUCACAAAUGUAAAGAUGAGUUGUAGUUGCUUGCGCCCAUGUGUCAAAAUUGAAGAAACAAGUAGGAGAAGUGGACGAUGGAAGAAACAAGUUGGGUCACCCCUUAAACUCCAUCUUUGGAUGCUCCGAAUCGGUUAAUUAUGCUCAUACGAGAAGCUUUAUUGGCUAGAAGAACAAUUCAGUUGUAGCGCAAUGGUCGAUUAAGUGGGCACAUUUGCCAACCGAAGAAGCUACACGAGAUCAGAAACAUAAGAGGUUUGGUCAGAAAUUUCCCACCUUCAAGCAAUAAGUCAUUGCUCUUUAAGGGGGGAAGAAAUGUAACGAAAUAAUCUGUUUUUCUUUUUUCCAAUUCAUGGAACGAUGUCGUUUGGAGCGUAGAAAAAGUGCCACUCGUUUCUCUAAGUUAGUCAACAUUUUCAAUUUGAUAAAUGAGGUAGAUUUAGAGGCAAUGCCUAUUUGAAUUUUUCCUUAAUUGGUAUUCAGAAUGUCACAGAGUCUUUUGGGAUUA